ACAGUCUGAAAAUUGUCUCCUCUGUAUUAGUUGGUGGAGGUAAGAUAACUGUGCCAACAUCAUAGAGGUACAUUUAAGCUUAUUGCCAACUUCAUGUAGUUGAGCAAUGAAACCCAUGUGCCCACAAUG
ensembl:snoRNA small nucleolar RNA ACA64